GUCGAUUUUCAUCAAUCAAACCAGAGAAUGUUGGAGGAAAGGAGAAUGAACAUGCUGCUGUCUCAUUCUUGUCCAAAUCAUUAGUAUCGACUCUCAGGUUUGCUUUCAAGUUCAUCAGUAUUUCAUUUGAAUAUUGCUCUGUUUCAUAGUUGGCUUGUUUCUCGAAUUCCUGGUUUUCUGGUGAUUUCGGUUGUAGUGCAGAAUUACUAGCUUGGUGACAAGUAUGAGAGCCUUUGUAUGUGAUCUCAAAUACAGUAGGAUCAUCACCUGACCUUUGCACUUGUUUUGUCGUCCAACAAUUUUGCAUGUGACGAUAUGUGCAUCUGUAGUAACUUCUGCAAAACAUAUAUAUAUAUACUUGGUAUCAGAACAUAGGACUUUGUUUCUGAGAAUUCCUAGAAAAGUAUACUGUUGAUUUCUUAAUUAUGUACUCAGAGGAGGAUCUAGAAUUUAAAUUCUAUGAGUUCAGCAUUUAAGUUUCUUACCAUUGAGCAAUAAUUUGUUGCAAUUUUAAUGGAUUUUUACAUAUAAAUUUCGAAAGUUAUGGUUUAGUGGAACCCGGUGUCAGAAGGCUAGAUCCGUGCCUCCAUGUACUACUAAUAAAGCAUGACCAACAGAGGAUAAGAACUUUUGAUAUUUGAAGUUGAAAGGUAGACAUAAGCUGCUUAUAACAACAACAACAACUACCCUGUAUACUCCCACAAAGUGGGGUCUGGGGAGGGUAAUAUGUAGACGAGCCUUACCCCUACCUGAAAGGGCAGAGAGGCUGUUUCCAAUCGACCCUCGGCUCAGUGAACAUAAGUUGCUUAUAUUUGGUGCAUUUUAUAUUUAGAGCAUGAGAAGGAAUUGACUUAUUACCGAGGAUAUUUAGCUCCAAGAAUGUCUUUCUGACCGUACUUUCUCCAGCUAUAUCCAUCAUCAAUAGGACCUUCAAAUCCAGUCUCUGCACUGACUUUGACUUGUUCAGUCCAUGUAGGCUGUGAUUUUCUGCAACAUACAUCAAGAACCAGGUUAAGUUGACUUAUUCCACGUUUCAUUUUAUAUGACAUUGUUUGGCUGGACACAAAGUUUAAAAAAGAAACUUUGGACCACAUAUUAAAAGUAUCCUUAAAACUUGUUAAUUUAAAUGUCAUGACAUUUCCCGGGGUAGAGCUAGCCUUUGCGGUUGGGGGUUCGGCCGAACUCAAUAGUUUUGGUUCAAACUAUAUAUUUGUUUUAUGAAAUCCAUUGAAUAUAUAAACUAUUAAUUUAGAACUCAGUAGCUUAAAAGGACUAAAAUUUCAAACUCAUUCUGGCUCCGCCGCUAGUCACAUUUCUAUGGUUAUAAGAGCAUGUUCUUAAGAGAAUAAGUGAUAUGUAAAGUUCCAGAGUUUCUAAAUAUAGAAAAAUGUUAUUUUUUUAACGGAAUUUGAUCUACCUCUUCUUUGAAACAUUUAUGAGCUCCUGAUGAUCUUUGAAACUCCUUUUCUUGUCCUCACUCCCAGGACUUCCAUCAACUGAAACAGAAGGUUCGAUCGCGCCACAUGUUGGAGUCACAGGCUGUGGAGAUUGAACGGCCGAUCCACUGCAUUUGAGAAUUAACAGAGAUUGCUCAUAAGAAGAAAGAAUCUUCUGCAGAAGCAAUUCUUGAUUUUCAGAAGUGGAAGCCAUUGAGCUCAAGUAAGAUCUAAGUUGCUUUGUGUGUUCAAUACCUCGAGUUAGCUCAUUGAUAAGUGUAAUAUAUUUCCAAUUGAAAGCACAAUCCAUUUUAAAAGAAGGAAUUGGAAAAGAAAAAGGGGAGCUAUUAUGUAGCCUAGACGCGGCCCCAAGUUUCCCCAACAACAGCUUGCUUAGUAGCUCAACUCUUUCUUCUGACGCGGCGUGUUGAGUUUCUUAGUAAGUGUACUUGAACUUGAAGUAUACAGGAUUACAGGGAACUUAGACACGAUGUGAACCUACUUAUGAGUGGAAUGU
rnacentral:lncRNA from 1 species